GUAGUCGAGCGCGCCGCGGCGGGGGCGGGGAAGAGAGGAGGACAACCCGCACCAGAAGACCCCCCCCCCUAGCGUUUUGUAGCCAAGUGGAGUCCUCUGCAGACCGCCCAGAGUCCUUAAUUACAGGGAUGAGAAGCUCAGUGCCCCCGCACGGCCCUCUCCGCCCCCUAGGUCCUAACCCUAGCUCAGGCUCCGGGUCUUCCCUUUGUGUGGCCUAGACUCUCUGCCAGCUGCAACCUAGGUGGGAUCCCAAAGGAAGGAGGUGGCGGGGCCUACGGAAGAGGAUGCUCUGAGAGACAGCCGAGAAGGGACUAGAAAAAACGAAUUCAUGUGAUUCCGGGGGCGGAACCGAGACCCCGGUUUCCCACCCCAGCUUCGGCAGGAGUCUCUAUCUGUGGGCACCUUCAGUUUAACCGACGUCGCGGAGAAGGGGGACGAGGGAAGUGGCAGUUUGUGUCCCAGGGGCUCUUCCGCCUUAGACAAACAAACCCAAGGCCCCUUCCUCCAGGGCCAGGGAACUCGUGGGACCGUGACAACCCCCUGCUCCAGACGCCCGGUUUCCACGCGGCCGGCGCCCGCCCGUUGGCGGCUGCAGCUCGGCGCGACCUCCCGCGCGGGCGGGCGGGCAACUGGAGCGCGAGAUCGGCGGAGCGGUCAGCCCUGGCCCCGGCCUCGGGGUGAGGGAGCCCCAUUCACUCUGCUUCGUGAGUCGUCAACCCCAGGCUGGAGUGCCAGCCCCAAGGCGGGGACGGCGCGGAAGGGCCCCUUUGUGUGACUAAAUUUGGCAAGAAUAUGGAUCCCGGCCAGUCUUUCCACGUGUGCUCCCAGCUCCCAGCUGAGAAGGCCAAGGGUUCUCUUCCGGCAUGCUUCACACUUUCUUCUGUGGCCACGUUUUUUGAGAGGGAGCGCUGACACAACACGUGUGUACGUACUGUUUGUGCAUCCUGCUUUUUAACCCCUCUGCACAUGGUUACGGGGCACUGCCUGUUUCCCCCACAGAAACUGGAUUCUGGAAAACUGAUGUUAACAGCAUUUUUAAUCGCUUUCCCAGUUGGUCUCCAUGGUUUGAAGUCGUCUCCUUGGUGGGUCUACCCAUGUGUUUUAAACACGAGACUCCACAGAAACGUUUGUGUCUGUGGUGAAAAGUCUGUAAGCUGUCGUCUCUGACACACUGCUCGAAUGAGGUCUGUGCAGAGGUAUUUUCCCAAUAGUGUCCCCAGGUCCAAGACAGGCUCAGGACCUGCCUCCCCAGCAAGGGGUGAAGGUAGUUAGGGGCAUCUGACCUCUCCAACGCCUCGUUUUCUCUGCAAAUAGCUGUGUACCGGUCUACCUUCCAGAGAGAUAAUGCAUGUGAAAAAUGUGCAAAAAUAAAAAUAAGAUAUUAGACCAGGA